rnacentral:rRNA from 1 species
CAGCUCUCCGAGUGGUAGGGAUGAUUAUUGGGCUUAAAGCGUCCGUAGCCGGCUUAGCAAGUUUCCUGUUAAACCCAGCGACUCAAUCGUUGGAUCGCGGGAAAUACUACUAGGCUAGGAGGCGGGAGAGGUCAACGGUACCUCUGGGGUAGGGGUGAAAUCCUAUAAUCCCGGGAGGACCACCAGUGGCGAAGGCUGUUGACUAGAACGCGCUCGACGGUGAGGGACGAAAGCUGGGGGAGCGAACCGGAUUAGAUACCCGAGUAGUCC